UCCUCGGUAGCUCAAGCGGUAGAGUGUUGGGUUUACAACCAAAAGGGCCCGAGUUCAAUUUCGGUUGUUUGU